GGGGGCUUGCCCAGGGUCUCACAGCAGGAGCAGAAACAGACAUGGCCACAGGCAGCUGAGUCUUGUCACACGUGGGGUGUGGCAGAAAGAACCUGGGGAGCACAGGGAGCCCCAGGUCAGGAGCUGUGCCAGCACCAGGACUCCCUUGUCUGAAGGCGUGAGCUCUGCAGCGUGGACGCC
rnacentral:lncRNA from 1 species